UAACAUCAUAUCGCCUUAUUUUUAGCUUAGUUGGGAUUUCAACCAGCACUCCAUAUUUAAGAUAAAUUUUCUAGUAACGCAAGAAUAAAGUGCCAAAACACCGCAACAUAGGCUAAAUAUUAUUCAUCGACAAACCACCAACUAAGUGGAAACCGAUCGAGCAUUAAAGGGCACAAUAAUCAUGCGUGACUGCCGCUCACAGAGAGAAGAAAAAGGCAACGUUUGAUCUUCCCCCCGUCUCGCCCAUCUGCAUCCUCUCAUUUACAGUUGUUGCAGUUGCAGGAUAUCGGCUUAUACGAGCAAUGGCCGAACGGCUUGUCCUGGUUGCAUUUGAUUUCGUAACAACACUUCCUUGUCGAGCAUUUGCUCCGGUCACUGAUGGCACAACACGUGCAAUCCGAGCACACCUUCGUCUCCUCGUGGACAGCGCUGAUCACGUCGGCGACAGCUCGGUGUUGGACGGGAGAGACAGGUACGUAAUCGUCCGCUCCUGCAUGCAGGCGUUUAGAAACCAGUCAGUACUUACUUGGAAGCGACAUGGAGAUGGGAUGAAGGAUGACCUUUGUGGGGAAGGGCGGAGAGCAAGAGAGCGAGGAUGAGAAAGAGGCUAACGUUGAAGUUUCCCAUGGCGCUCGGAAACUGUAAAGAGAGACAGAGAGAGAGAGAGAGAGAGAGAGGGAGAAUAUAUAGGGAGAGACGGGAGGUGAUUCCCACGUAUUGGAGAUACGAAUUGGGUAUCGACACCCUCUUAAAAAUAUCACAUUAAUUACUACGUCUUCCGGUCAUGUAGUAGUAUAUUUCUAUGUGCACCCCACUCGAUACGAUAACCGACGUUGGGUUCCAAUAAAAUCUCUUCUACGUUAAAGUAAGUCGAUCGUCCGAGAUGAAUAGUCAAAGAUCCUAAUCAAUUUUUUCUUCACUCGGCCACCCACCAUAACAAUGACAACAAUCAAAAUAUCUAAACACGGAAAGAAAUCAGUAAUGAUGUUGCCAAAUAUCUAAACUCGGCCACCCACCUACGCAACAUAUGCCUAAUUAUAUACGUCAAUUUUGAAUUAGCUAACAUUUGUUUUCGGUUCACAUGAUUUAUAAACAUAAAAAAAACUCUUUAAAAUAUUAUAUACGAUCGAUUCCUCAUUUAUUUGAGGAUAAAGAAAGUGCCAAAAUACCGCAACAUAGGCUAAAUAUUAUUCGCCAACAUACCACCAACUAAGUGGAUGUCAAUCAAACAUCAAAGUGCAUAAUAAUCAUGCGUGACUGCUGCUCACAGAGAGAAGGAAAAAAACAACGUUUGAUCUUCCCCAUCUCGCCCAUCUGAAUCCUGUCAUUCACAGUUGUUGCAGUCGCAGGAUAUAGGCGUAAACGAGCAAUGGCCGAAUGGCUUGCCGGGCUGGUUGCAUUUGAUUUGGUGACAACACUUCAUUGUCUGGCAUUUGCUCCGGUCAUUGCCGGCACAACACGUGCAAUCCGAGCACACCUUGGCCGGGUCCGACAGAAUGCCGCCGGCGACAGCUCGAUGUUGGACGGGAGAGACAGGUACGUAGUCUUCAAUGGGGGGCGUUCCGUUGUGCGAUGCUCCUGCAUGCAGGCGUUGAGAAACCAGUCAAUAUAUACUUGGAAGGGACAUAGAGAUGAGACGAAGGUUGACUUUGUGAGGGAAGACGGAGAGCAGGAAAGCGAGGAUGAGAAAGAGGCUGACGAUGAGGUUGCCCAUGGCGGUAGGAAACUGUGCAGGUGGGGGAGAGAGAGAGAGACAGAGAGAGAGAGAGGUGUAUAUGUAGGCGUACAAGAACGUCUCACUAUGUGUUGCUUCGAAGAGAGGAGGGUUUAAAGUGGGGCUUUAUUUUAUUAUGGGGAUUUGAAGACAAGUGGCAGUUUCUAUUGGAUAUUAAUACCUUAAAAAGGGUUAUUUAUAAUAUCUCCACGUCUAGGUUGGACAUGAUGCAUAAUUAUAUUUGAUGAUUUUUUUCUCUCUUAAUAUAAAUUAAAAUUUCAUAUAUAAUUUGUUGUUUUAUUUAAAUUAGUAACGUUAUUAUUUAUUUAGUAGGGUUAAAGAAAUGAUUAAGAUUGAUUUCCUUAAUCAAAUGGACAUGUUAAAAUUUUAUUAAUUAUUUAAAUUAUCAAUCAAUUUAGUUUUCAUAGAUGAUGUGAUUUUUAGAAAAUAAAUAAUUCAAAUUUUAUUUUUAUAAAAAUAAAAAUUAAAUAAUUAUUUAUCUUUUAGGAAGAGCCGGACUCUCUCUCUCUCUCUCUCUCUCUCUCUCUCUCUCUCUUUCAUUCUUCAUUGAAUAUGACAACUGGAGGAUCCACUACUCUUUUCCUAUUAGUUUCUAUUUAAUUUUAAAAUUUUAUAAUUAAUAAAUAAUGAUCAUUAAAAUAUGAUGUUAGAAUAAUUAGUUAAUUUAAUAAUAGAUUUAAUUUAUUAAAUUAGACAUAUUUAUGUUUUAAAAUUUUUUAUGAUUUAACUAGUUUUAAAUUUAGAAUCAUUAAUCUAAAUUAGUUGAAUUAUAAAAAUUAGAUUUGAAGUUAAUUAUUAAUUUAUAAUAUUUUAAAAUAUCUUUAAAAUAUUAAAAUCUAAUUUAAUAAGAUGGAUCAAAUUCGAGCUUAAGUUAAGUUGAUUAACUAAAUCAGCUUAUGUGGUCAGACAUAACCCAAUUGAUGUGGUAAAAUAUGAUCGAAAUAAUGUAGUUAAGUAUAACCUAACUCAUGCAGUCAAUUUCAACUCAACCAUGUAAUCAAGCAUAACCCAACCCCAUAUGGCCAAAUAUAACUUAGCCCAUAUGAUCAUGUACAGUGCAAUCCAUGUGACUAGGUAUAACGUAACUCAUGUGGCUAAACUUAUCUUAUGUGGUCAAACAUAAUUCAACUUAUAUAGCUAAGCACCACCAGCCCAUAUGGUUAGGUAUGUCCCAAUCUACGUAGUUUUAUGUGACUCAACUCACGAGUCAAGUGUAGCCUAGUUUAGUGGUAAGGCAUAUCCCAGCCCCGAAGCUAGGUCCACUUAGUUAUGUGACUGGAAUUCGAUUAAUUGUUGGCCCCCUUUAUCUAACCUAUUGUACCUCAACCCAUCCUGCUAUCUCGGAUAGGUAUAUACAACACAUGUGAUUUGUCCAAAGCUUAAGUGAGUUGAAUCGGUCUAGGCUAAUAUUAUACGAUAUAAUAUAAUUUUCUCUUUUUUUAUUUGAUUGAGCUCAUUAAUUUAAUAAAUCAGACAUAUUUGAUCAAUUCAAGCUGAUCCAAGAUAAUUCUAGACCAAUAUAAUCAAUUUAAGCCCACUAGACCUAAUUGAAAUCAAUAUUAGAUCAAGGUGAAUCCAAACUAGUUCUAUAAAGAUUUGAGGGUAGUUUUGUUAUAUCUUGAAUUAAGUUUGGUCUAAGUCAUUUAGGUCUUUGUGAUUUGAUAAACUUCAAAGUUUUAUCUAAAUGUGUUAUUUGAAAAUAAUUAUUAGUUUUCUCUUUUUUUUAGUUUAAAUUGAUGAUAUUAAUGUGAUUGUUAUUAUGUAAUAUAUGUGACUUUGUUAAGUGAUCCACGUUGAAGUGGAACCUAUGAAAAGUACUACAAAUCCAUUAUAAUGUGAAGUCAUUAAUGAACAUAGUCUAGCAAAUCAUAUAUUAAGCACGGCCCCUUAUAAUAUUUUAUCAUACUACUUCUUGAAUAUAUAAAUGAAUGAAUAUAAAUAAAUGAUCAUGACUGAUUAUGUUUCUCUACCGAGGGCAAAUAGAGUGAUUCUCAUUAAGGAUUAACAGGCUGUCAGACAUGAUAAUUAAAAAAUUCUUUCAUUUGUAAGGGAUAUAUCCCCACUUGGGCGAGUAAGGGAUAUCACUCAUUCCUCUAUCGAAAGUGCGAUGUGGGUUCACUCUAUCCGCUAUUGUUAGGAAUUCAUCCGACAAAAUACAUCUCUCCAACCAUUGUUAGAAGAGUGCACCACCAUCGGGUGUAAUAUAUAUAUUUUUAUUAUCUCAUCGUUAUAUAUAUUAUUGAGAUGUAUUGUAUGUGAUUGAUAGAUGAUUUUAUUUACUAUAUAAGAAUUAUUAUUAUUUUCUAAUAUAUAAAUUAUAUAAUAAAUUGAUGAUACGUUAUCAUUUCAUUUUAGGUUGUUGUUGAUAUUUGUAUAUGUUUCAUAAACAUUAAAGAUUUUUUUUAUGAUUUUUUGAAGAUACACACAUGUUGUUACUAUUUUCAUCAUAUAUUUAUUUGAACAUGUAAUAUACAUGCCCCCUCUUAAUAUGAUAAAUAUAAUAAAAUAUCUUGAGUGAUUCAGUCAAUCUAGUUGACUGAAUAACCAAAAUCGAACGUACGAUCGGUACAGAUCCUCUGAGCAUUGUGGAAAAAUCUUGGAGAUGUUCCAGCACUAAUGAAAUCAAAAUAUGAAAUAAAUAAUAUUAAGAGAAAAAUGGGAAGUAGGCAAAUUUGAGUUGAGUACCAAGUUAGAAACAUUUCCUCUCUCUAAAAAACAAAAACAGAAUACAUAGACUUCUCUAAUCUCUUCCAGCGACAAAAUGACAAAUAACAAAUCGAGUAAAGACAGAAAUCGUAAGACAAACAGCACAGACAAAAUUUUUGGUUUUCCCUUAAUGUCACAUCAAUUUUUGCAUGGCUAUUUAUUUUCUCUUAUUUUGAUCGCACAUUUGUAGCUUAAUUUGGAUGCCAAGCGGCACUCUAUAUUUAAGAUAAGUUUUAUAGUAACAAAAGUACCAAAAUACUGCAACAUAGGCUAAAUACUCUUCACCAAAAUACUACCAAUUAAGUGGAUGCCAAUCAAGAAUCAAAGUGCAUAGCAAUCGUGCGUUGACUGCGGCUAACAAAGAGAAGAAAAAGGCAAUGUUAGGUCUUCCCCAUCUCCACAGGCGGAAGGAGUGCAUCCUCUCAUUUGAAGUUGUUGCAGUCGCAGGAUAUCGGAUUAUUGGAGCAGUAGCCGUAUGGCUGGUCCUGAUUGCAUUUGAUUUGGUAGCAACACUUCAGUGUCUGGCAUUUGAUCUGGUCACCGCGGGCACAACACUCGCAAUCCGAGCACACCUUCAACGUCCUUUAGAAGGCGCUGUUCACGUCGGCGGCAGCUUGGUGUUGAACGGGAAAGACAGGUACUACACUCAUCACCUUGACUCUGAUAGGAACAUCGGUGCUACAAUCAUCACCUAUCAAAUUAUAAAUAUGAGGGUUUCUUUGGGUAGGACAACAUGCAAAGCAACUCUGGUGGCUGUGCAUGGAUCCAUAUAAUGAAUUGGACAUUGGAUAUCCUUUUGGUCUCAUGCAUCUUAUGCAAAUCACACAGAUGGCAUGAGUAGGAUCUCAAACAUGAAUCCGAUACGUGUCAAUAUCGGAAGUGGAUAAGAUUAAGGUUGACUUAUAAUGACUUGAUAAGUAUAUUAUUGAUUUCAGUUUAAAUAUUUUGAUCAAUAGUUUAAGUCAAAAUAGGUCAAUUAAUUUGAUAUUUGGUAUCAAAGCCGAUCUAGUAUUUGAUACAAGGAGAGUCUCGUCAUGACUUAUAUAUAUAUAUAUAAAAGCGAUCUUAGUUUAAGAUCAGAUUGCCUUAUUUUUAGCUUAAUUGGGAUUUCACCCAUAUGAAGAUAAAUUUUCUAGUAACGACAGAAUAAAAAGUGCCAAAAUACCGCAACAUAGGGUAAAUUUUAUUCACCGACAUACCACCAACUAAGUGGAUACCAGUCAAGCAUUAAAGGUGCAUAAUAAUCAUGCAACACAGAGAGAAGAAAAAAGCAACGUUUGAUCUUCCCCAUCUCGCCCAUCUGAAUCAUGUCACUCACAGUUGUUGCAGUCGCAGGUUACAGGCGUAAACGAGCAAUAUCCGAAUGGCUUGCCGGGCAGGUUGCAUUUGAUUUGGUGACAACACUUCAUUGUCUGGCAUUUGCUCCGAUCACCGCCGGCACAACACGUGCAUUCCGCGCACACCUUGGCCGGCUCCGACAGAAUGCCGCCGGCGACAGCUCGGUAUUGGACGGGAGAGACAGGUACGUAAUCGUCAUUGGAGGGCGUUCCGUUGUGCGAUGCUCCUGCAUGCAGGCGUUGAGAAACCAGUCAAUAU
rnacentral:lncRNA from 1 species